ensembl:lncRNA
AUUCACUCUGGCAUGCUUUAUUUUCCAGGGGAGAUAGACGAGAAGAAACUUAAUAGCAAAGGAAGAUUCCAGCCGUAAAAAUUGACAAGUUUAUUUAUGUCACAGCAUCUACUACAGCCAGUUCCCCUCCUAGAUCACUCUUUCUCCUUCUUAGUUUUUCAAGACAGGGUUUAUUUGUUUAAUAGUUCUGGCCAUCCUGGAACUUGCUUUGUAGACCAGGCUGGCCUUCAACUAUAGGGAGGGACCACUAUCACCCCCCCCAACUCAUUUUUUCUUUUUUUUCGGAGCUGGGGACUGAACCCAGGGCCUUGCCAGGCAAGCGCUCUACCACUGAGCUAAAUCCCCAACCCCCCCAACUCAUAAUUAUAUCUUUUAAGACCGUGUACAGUCAGGUAGAGAUGUUGAGUUUUAGAGGUUCCCCAUCUCCAGUGCCACUACCACACACAGACCAGUCAAACCCAGGCCAACCCAAAUCCAGUCCACAACUUAAGACAUAGGCUGGCUACCAGAGUUAAGUUCAGAGCUGCCCAAAGCCAUAUGGGGAGUUCUGUAGGACACUGGUGAGGUCAGAGGACAUACCUCAGGCCCACGGCCUAAAAUCAUAUCUGCACUCAUCCCGAUCAGCCAUCUUGGCCAAUAAGUAGGCCCCCUUCCUUCUUCCUGGCUUCUGGAUCUGGAAGAUGAAGAAAGGACGGAUAAUUUCUUGUAUUUUCCCAGCUUCUCAGAAGGUCUCCUAGAAAACUCACACACACCUCCAAAGUUCUGUCUUGCUAAAAUGCUGACCAUGUGACCCUUUGGUGAGCCCUAGAGGCUUGGCAUCUGGCCAACAGCAAAGCCAAACCCCAGUGCCAUUCCACUGUGGCUCUGCAAAAUGUCAGGCUACAAACCAUUCUUAGUGCUCACUGGCUUCUGAACACUGAGCGUAGAAAUAGCCACUUGCUCUUUGCCCCAAUGUCACAGGCAAAGCCGAGCCAGGCCUGUGGUGCUGUUCUAGGACAGCAUCUUCAAGGCAGCCACGUACAUCCCAUCUGAGCACGCUCCAGUGGGUCCAGCCCACCUCUUACCUCAACUGAGUCAUUGCUGGGCAGUUAGCACAAGCAGAGUUUAUCUGCUGCACGUAUUAGGGCUACUAAACCCUCAGAAGGAAAGCACGGUGCGUCUUUGUUACGAUCGUCAGUACGAGACGCAAUCUUCCCGGUGGCCGGCCAAGGGCUAUGUAGGGUCAUCCGCGGCGCCCCAGGCCAACAACGGAAGCAAUAACGAUAGGAACCUACACACC